AUCACUUCUCGGCCUUUUGGCUAAGAUCAAGUGUAAUAGUAUCAUUAAUAUCAGGCCUGGGCUGGCCUUGGGUGUCAUCUCCCUUUUGUCCUAAAUUUUGCUUUAUGUCAAAAUUAUUAAUAUCAGUAACUUGUAUAGGGAAAAUAUAUAGAUUUUUAAGGAUAGUUGUUCUUUUAAAAUGUAACCCUU